GUCCACGCUGUAAACGAUGUCGACUUGGAGGUUGUUCCCUUGAGGAGUGGCUUCCGGAGCUAACGCGUUAAGUCGACCGCCUGGGGAGUACGGCCGCAAGGUUAAAACUCAAAAUGAAUUGACGGGGGCCCGCACAAGCGGUGGAGCAUGUGGUUUAAUUCGAUGCAACGCGAAAAACCUUACCCACCUUUGACAUGUACGGAAUCCUUUAGAGAUAGAGGAGUGCUCGAAAAGAGAGCCGUAACACAGGUGCUGCAUGGCUGUCGU
rnacentral:rRNA from 1 species